rnacentral:tRNA from 1 species
GCGAGGGUGGCGGAAUUGGCAGACGCGCUGGACUUAGGAUCCAGUCCCUUCCAUGGGGUGGGGGUUCGAGUCCCCCCUCUCGCA